rnacentral:rRNA from 1 species
UACGUAGGGUCCGAGCGUUGUCCGGAGUUACUGGGCGUAAAGCGCGCGCAGGCGGCUCGUCAAGUCUGGCGUGAAAGCCCCCGGCUCAACCGGGGAGGGUCGUCGGAGACUGGCGAGCUUGAGGGCGGUAGGGGCUGGUGGAAUUCCCGGUGUAGUGGUGAAAUGCGCAGAUAUCGGGAGGAACACCGGUGGCGAAGGCGGUUCUCUGGGCCUUACCUGACGCUGAGGAGCGAAAGCGUGGGGAGCGAACAGG